rnacentral:rRNA from 1 species
CUCAGAUUGAACGCUGGCGGCAGGCCUAACACAUGCAAGUCGAGCGGAAACGAGUUAUCUGAACCUUCGGGGAACGAUAACGGCGUCGAGCGGCGGACGGGUGAGUAAUGCCUAGGAAAUUGCCCUGAUGUGGGGGAUAACCAUUGGAAACGAUGGCUAAUACCGCAUGAUGCCUACGGGCCAAAGAGGGGGACCUUCGGGCCUCUCGCGUCAGGAUAUGCCUAGGUGGGAUUAGCUAGUUGGUGAGGUAAGGGCUCACCAAGGCGACGAUCCCUAGCUGGUCUGAGAGGAUGAUCAGCCACACUGGAACUGAGACACGGUCCAGACUCCUACGGGAGGCAGCAGUGGGGAAUAUUGCACAAUGGGCGCAAGCCUGAUGCAGCCAUGCCGCGUGUGUGAAGAAGGCCUUCGGGUUGUAAAGCACUUUCAGUCGUGAGGAAGGUAGUGUAGUUAAUAGCUGCAUUAUUUGACGUUAGCGACAGAAGAAGCACCGGCUAACUCCGUGCCAGCAGCCGCGGUAAUACGGAGGGUGCGAGCGUUAAUCGGAAUUACUGGGCGUAAAGCGCAUGCAGGUGGUUUGUUAAGUCAGAUGUGAAAGCCCGGGGCUCAACCUCGGAAUUGCAUUUGAAACUGGCAGACUAGAGUACUGUAGAGGGGGGUAGAAUUUCAGGUGUAGCGGUGAAAUGCGUAGAGAUCUGAAGGAAUACCGGUGGCGAAGGCGGCCCCCUGGACAGAUACUGACACUCAGAUGCGAAAGCGUGGGGAGCAAACAGGAUUAGAUACCCUGGUAGUCCACGCCGUAAACGAUGUCUACUUGGAGGUUGUGGCCUUGAGCCGUGGCUUUCGGAGCUAACGCGUUAAGUAGACCGCCUGGGGAGUACGGUCGCAAGAUUAAAACUCAAAUGAAUUGACGGGGGCCCGCACAAGCGGUGGAGCAUGUGGUUUAAUUCGAUGCAACGCGAAGAACCUUACCUACUCUUGACAUCCAGAGAACUUUCCAGAGAUGGAUUGGUGCCUUCGGGAACUCUGAGACAGGUGCUGCAUGGCUGUCGUCAGCUCGUGUUGUGAAAUGUUGGGUUAAGUCCCGCAACGAGCGCAACCCUUAUCCUUGUUUGCCAGCGAGUAAUGUCGGGAACUCCAGGGAGACUGCCGGUGAUAAACCGGAGGAAGGUGGGGACGACGUCAAGUCAUCAUGGCCCUUACGAGUAGGGCUACACACGUGCUACAAUGGCGCAUACAGAGGGCGGCCAACUUGCGAAAGUGAGCGAAUCCCAAAAGUGCGUC